UUAUGGCCACAUCACCUUGAAACACCAGUUCUCAUAUGAUUAUUGAAGUUAAGCAAUAUUGAGCCAGGUCAGUACCAAGAUGGGUAACCACUUGGAAAUACCAGGUGCUGUC